UUCAGACACAAAAUCCUAUUAGUUUCGUUAUGGGUGUAACUGGACAUGGGAUCCCAGGAAGAAGACUUGCCGUGACAGAUUUUGCGGAAGAGUUUCAAAAUAGUCAUUUGCAUGAGGUGGCCAUGAAGGUCAUUAACAACGCUACAGAGAACAACAAAAUUGGGAAAGAAAAGGACAGUAACAUGAUAUCCAUUAGUUACAACUAUCCAGCAUCAUUUAUAAGGCAAAUAGGGUUGGUUUUGUUGAGGACACAGAGGUUCUUAUGGCGGAAUGUGAACUACACUUACAGCAGGUUUACUGGUUGCGUAAUGAUUGGGUUACUGAUGGGCUCACUCUAUUUCAAGAUUAAGUAUGAAGACACAUAUGGGGUGACUUCUAGAUCACUGUACAUCUACAUGCAAACUAUACUCAUCGGGGUUAUAUCUGCUAACAAUGUGAUUCCUCAAAUUGGCACUGACAGGCUCGCCUACUUCAGAGAAAUGAGGUCUAAGAUGUACCUUCCGAUAUUCUACCCAGUGUCAUGGGUGAUCAGUGAAAUCCCCUACUUCCUCAUAGCAACGCUGGCAUUCGUUGGCAUUGGCAAUGGCAUGGCAAGGAUAGCAACCGAGACAGCCACUGAUUUCCUGGCCUAUUGGUCAGUUCUGUUCAUCUUCACUCUCUGCAUGACCUACUUUGGCAUGAUGAUCACAUUCCUAGCUCCAAGCCCGAUCUUCGCCGCGUUCCUUGUCUCCAUAAUCACGUCGCUGUGGGUCUCUGCCUCUGGCGUGGUGGUCCGCUUCUCAGACAUCAGGUUCUACAAGUGGAUGUACUGGACAAACCCGUUUCAAUAUGCGAUGAGCACGCUCACGACAAUAAGCUUCUACUGCGACACAUCCUCGUGCCAGAGACAGUGCUCGUGCCCACGGCUCCCUGACGGCUCAUACGUGUGGGACAGGAUAGCAAGCAUCAGGUCUUUGAGCCAAGAGAGGAUCUACGCGGAUGUGGUAACCCUAGCAGGGAUGUGCACCACAUUCGCGGUGCUUGCUCUCCUCUUCUUCAUCAUUCUGAAGCACAACUCACCGCACGCCCAUUAAAAACGAUUGAUCCACACAAAUCAGCAUUGUGGUCCACUACUGCAAACGUGUUCUUGUUCGUCACAUGGAGUUGGCUUUUGUGUUUUGCUGCUGCAAACAUAUUCCGUUUCACACAUUGUGUAGAGUGCCCUAGUGUCGUCAAAAUUCGAAAUGUUCUGCUUUCCUUGUGUCACUAUAUGUAUGAUGAGAUGUUACCACAUCGUACAACUCACAAGAAAUUACAUGUAAUGCAGAACAUUACUCUCCCCUUCUUUCCAGCGCACUAGUCAGAUUGCAUUAUCAUGUAGAUGUAGGAGGAGCUAGUGUCAUGCGCCUCAUGGUACUCUACACGUGCGCGUUCAAGAGGCUGAAACUGAAACCAUGUAUGCAGAGCGCUACGCAAGUAGUAACAAAUCGGAAAGGCAGAGACGAACUUACAAGCUGCUCUUGUAGGCCGUGGCGUUCCCCGCCCUCGGCGACGCGGCGGGAUGCCGCCGGCCGCCGGCGGUUGGCAAUACAGCCGGUGGGCCGGCAGAUUAGCGUGGCCGCGGCCAGCGGUGUCGGAUCCGACGGCGGCCGCCGCCGGAGACGAGGAGGAGGACGGCGGCGGGGGCGAACGGCUCGUGGGCCGCCGGACACGUAUCUGCUUGUUUUUUGGACACGGCCCAGCCCACAUAGCACUACUGCCAUCCCAUGCCCGCCCUGCCCUAGCCCCCGCCCGCACGAGCGCCGCUGCUCGCCGUCGCCGUCGCCGGCGACGAGCCGCCGGCCGCCGGCGACGAGGAGCGCCGGCUGCAAUCUCCGUGACUACCACAGCAUAAAA